rnacentral:tRNA from 1 species
UGUAGCUUAGUGGUAGAGCUCUUGCCUAGCAUGCAUAAGGCCCUGAGUUCAAUCCCCAGCA